rnacentral:rRNA from 1 species
AGCGAACGCUGGCGGCAGGCUUAACACAUGCAAGUCGAGCGCCCCGCAAGGGGGGCGGCAGACGGGUGAGUAACACGUGGGAACGUACCCUUUGGUUCGGAACAACCCAGGGAAACUUGGGCUAAUACCGGAUAAGUCCGCGAGGAGAAAGAUUUAUCGCCGAAGGAUCGGCCCGCGUCUGAUUAGCUAGUUGGUGUGGUAACGGCGCACCAAGGCGACGAUCAGUAGCUGGUCUGAGAGGAUGAUCAGCCACACUGGGACUGAGACACGGCCCAGACUCCUACGGGAGGCAGCAGUGGGGAAUAUUGGACAAUGGGGGCAACCCUGAUCCAGCCAUGCCGCGUGAGUGAUGAAGGCCCUAGGGUUGUAAAGCUCUUUCGGUGGGGAAGAUAAUGACGGUACCCACAGAAGAAGCCCCGGCUAACUUCGUG